UACGGAGGAUGCGAGCGUUAUCCGGAUUUAUUGGGUUUAAAGGGUGCGCAGGCGGGCUUUUAAGUCAGCGGUGAAAUCUCGACGCUUAACGUCGAAACUGCCGUUGAAACUGGGAGUCUUGAGUAUAGAUGAAGUAGGCGGAAUUCGUUGUGUAGCGGUGACAUGCUUAGAUAUAACGAGGAACUCCGAUUGCGUAGGCAGCUUACUAAGCUAUAACUGACGCUCAAGCACGAAAGCGUGGGGAUCAAACAGG
rnacentral:rRNA from 1 species